UCGAUGCAAAUGACUCGAACUAGUUCAGACUGAAGUAAUCGAGCACCGGUGGAGCGUUAGCGUUCUUAGCCUUUUGGCUAACAGCUCUGAGAAGAUGGCAUCCCCGGACCAACCUGACCACCAAAAUCAGAGCUCUGCUCCAGCCAGAGAAGACGUGCCUCCGAGAGAAGCGCUGAUUGCCACGGCAGUCAAGUUUCUACAAAACCAGCAAGUUCGUCAAAGCCCCUGGCAACCAGAAAAAGCGUUCUUGAAG